rnacentral:rRNA from 1 species
AGCGAACGCUGGCGGCAGGCCUAACACAUGCAAGUCGAACGGACCCUUCGGGGUUAGUGGCGGACGGGUGAGUAACACGUGGGAACGUGCCUUUAGGUUCGGAAUAGCUCCUGGAAACGGGUGGUAAUGCCGAAUGUGCCCUUCGGGGGAAAGAUUUAUCGCCUUUAGAGCGGCCCGCGUCUGAUUAGCUAGUUGGUGGUGUAACGGACCACCAAGGCGACGAUCAGUAGCUGGUCUGAGAGGAUGAUCAGCCACAUUGGGACUGAGACACGGCCCAAACUCCUACGGGAGGCAGCAGUGGGGAAUGUUGCGCAAUGGGCGAAAGCCUGACGCAGCCAUGCCGCGGGAAUGAUGAAGGUCUUAGGAUUGUAAAAUUCUUUCACCGGGGACGAUAAUGACGGUACCCGGAGAAGAAGCCCCGGCUAACUUCGUGCCAGCAGCCGCGGUAAUAC